rnacentral:rRNA from 1 species
GACGAACGCUGGCGGCGUGCUUAACACAUGCAAGUCGAACGAAGUGGCGAACGGGUGAGUAACGCGUAAUCAACCUGCCGUUCAGAGGGGGACAACAGUUGGAAACGACUGCUAAUACCGCAUACUGAAGGACGGGAUUGCGUCUGAUUAGCUAGUUGGAGGGGUAACGGCCCACCAAGGCGAUGAUCAGUAGCCGGUCUGAGAGGAGGAACGGCCACAUUGGGAGUGAGACACGGCCCAGACGCCUACGGGAGGCAGCAGUGGGGAGUCGUCCGCAAUGGACGAAAGUCUGACGGAGCAACGCGGCGUGAGUGAGGACGGCCCUCGGGGUGUAAAGCUCUGUUAAUCGGGACGCGGUACCGGAAUAGAAAGCCACGGCUAACUACGUGCCAGCAGCCGCGGUAAUAC